AGCAGCCGCGGUAAUUCCAGCUCCAAUAGCGUAUAUUAAAGUUGUUGUGGUUAAAAAGCUCGUAGUUGAACCUUGGGCCUGGCUGGCCGGUCCGCCUCACCGCGUGUACUGGUCCGGCCGGGCCUUUCCCUCUGUGGAACCCCAUGCCCUUCACUGGGUGUGGCGGGGAAACAGGACUUUUACUUUGAAAAAAUUAGAGUGCUCCAGGCAGGCCUAUGCUCGAAUACAUUAGCAUGGAAUAAUAGAAUAGGACGUGUGGUUCUAUUUUGUUGGUUUCUAGGACCGCCGUAAUGAUUAAUAGGGACAGUCGGGGGCAUCAGUAUUCAAUUGUCAGAGGUGAAAUUCUUGGAUUUAUUGAAGACUAACUACUGCGAAAGCAUUUGCCAAGGAUGUUUUCAUUAAUCAAGAACGAGAGUUAGGGGAUCGAAGACGAUCAGAUACCGUCGUAGUCUUAACCAUAAACUAUGCCGACUAGGGAUCGGAUGAUGUUAAUUUUAUAAUGACUCA
rnacentral:rRNA from 1 species